rnacentral:rRNA from 2 species
AGUCCGCACGAGCGCACCCUUGAUCUUAGUUGCCAGCAUUCAGUUGGGCACUCUAAGGUGACUGCCGGUGACAAACCGGAGGAAGGUGGGGAUGACGUCAAAUCAUCAUGCCCCUUAUGACCUGGGCUACACACGUGCUACAAUGGGCAGAACAAAGGGCAGCGAAGCCGCGAGGCUAAGCCAAUCCCACAAAUCUGUUCUCAGUUCGGAUCGCAGUCUGCAACUCGACUGCGUGAAGCUGGAAUCGCUAGUAAUCGCGGAUCAGCAUGCCGCGGUGAAUACGUUCCCGGGCCUUGUACACACCGCCCGU